GUUACUGAUUAGUAAUUUGGAACUUGCUUUUUAAAAAAAAAUCAUGUUAACUCCAGCAGUAAUUUCCGUACAGUCUGGUCGUUAUCUAAAAGGGACCAUCAGUCACUGCAGACUACUCCUAUUAAUGAAGGCACCAAUGAUGUUUCUCUUUUUUAAAAACUCAGAUGAAGAAACUCUGAUUAGAGAGGUUUAAAUAACUUGACCAAGACAUGGGACACGUGAGCGUCAUGGCGAGGGACUGAACCUUGAUUGCUCUGACUUCAACUCCUGAGAUUCUAACGAUGGUCCUCCACCGCUGCUCAGAUCAAGGUUAAUGACAUCUUCAUUUCUACAUUUCUCUGACAUGUUGUAUUGACUCUUCUUCAUUUUGCUGUUAGCAUUCCAGUAUAAGCUUUCUGGUUGCUUCCUCACUGCAUGCUGAUAUGAUUUGGCUGUAUCUUCACCCACAUCUCAUUUUGUAUUGUAGCUCCCAUAAUUCCCACGUGUUGUAGGAGGGACCCAGUGGGAGAUAACUGAAUCAUUGGGGAGGAUUCCCCCAUACUGUUCUCGUGGUAGUGGGUAAGUCUCCUGAGACCUGAUAGUUUUAUAAGGGGAAAUCCCUUUUGCUUGGAUCUCAUUUUUUCUCUUGUCUCCCGCCAUGUGAGAUGUGCCUUUUGCCUUCCACCAUGAUUAUGAGGCCUCCCCAGCCACGUGGAACUAUUCAGAUGAUCAGAGAACUUACCGUGAAG
rnacentral:lncRNA from 1 species